GACAGAGGGUGCAAACGUUGUUCGGAAUUACUGGGCGUAAAGCGCGUGUAGGCGGUUAUGCAAGUCGGGUGUGAAAGCCCCGGGCUCAACCCGGGAAGUGCAUUCGAUACUGCGUAGCUAGAGUACUGGAGAGGAUGGUGGAACUCUCGGUGUAGAGGUGAAAUUCGUAGAUAUCGAGAAGAACACCGGUGGCGAAGGCGGCCAUCUGGACAGAUACUGACGCUGAGGCACGAAAGCGUGGGGAGCAAACGGG
rnacentral:rRNA from 1 species